UAGUACGACCACAGGGUUUGCAAAACAGGGCUCCCCGUCCGUUCAGCCAUACUGAAGCCACUCGCCGGCUAGUUCGUAGUCUGGGUGGGUGACCACCAGCGGAUCCUGGCUGUUGUACGUC
rnacentral:rRNA from 1 species